AUAAUCGACACCCCACGCUAUACCUCACCCCCCCUAGCCAACCAGCCUAUAUACCGCCGUCGCCAGCUCACGCUGUGAACCCACAACCGUAAGCAUAAUCAUCACCCAUUAAAACGACAGGUCAAGGUGUAGUUAAUGGGGGGGCAGUGAUGGGCUACAUUUUCUUCACUAGAAAAUACCACCCGCACCAUGAAACCUUUGCCCAAAGACGGAUUUAGAAGUAAGCCAUGACAAGACAUGUCAACCUGAAACAUGCCCUGGGACA
rnacentral:rRNA from 1 species